GCGCGAGUUCGUGGAACAGGCCUCAGGGCUAGAGAGGUGAAACAGGGAAGUCGGUGCGUUUCGCGUGCAUACGCCAAAUCAUUCCGACGCUGCCCCCGCAACGGUAGACGAGUCACACCAAACGCUUAAAGCCACUGUGCGUCAGCAUGGGAAGGUGCGUUCGGUGGCGUUCUGAUCAUCAGAGCGCAGCUCGUAAGCCCGGAGACCGGCCUGCUGCAGUCCAUGGCA
rnacentral:ncRNA from 2 species